UUUUUUUUUUUUUUGAGGGGCAAAAGGGAUUUUAUUCAUUAAUAACAUAGUGCGGAAUACAGACGAUAUUGGGUGUAAUCCCUAAUCACAAGUGGUGCCCGACUGCCAGAGAAGUAGCAGCCUUAACCAAAGCAUGAGCUUCAUAGUUCGACUUACAAAAUUCAAAAGAAAACUUAACAGACUCAAGAUCAUUCACCCGAUCCUUUAUCUCGUGCAAGACCAGACCAUACACAGGCGCUCCACCCUUGUUGAUGUUGUUCAAAACCUCUAGGCAGUCCGAGGCCACCUGAACUCUCCGCAAAUUCAGAUCUUUGGCUAGCGCUAAAGCUUCAUUUCAUGCUUGUGCUUCCAGACUUGGUGGAUCCACUAGGCCAUCAAAAACAAUUGCAGAAGCUCCCAAAAAAGCUCUUGUUUCAUCUCUGCAUAUAACAGCCGCUGCUCCUCGUGCUUCAUUCCUCGAGACCCCACCAUCUACAUUCAUCUUCGCGUUACCAGUGGCCGGUUUUAGCCAUCUGCUUGUCCUCGAGUCUGCCUGGUAGUUGUUUGGAUUGUGUCCUGGGAGAAAAAGUCUCUACCUGGCCUGGUUGUCCCACCUUUGAUUAGCAUGGUGAAGAUUGAAAAAACCAAAGAAAAUGAUAUGCUUAGCCCAGGCAUGGUGGUUAGCCUGGCCCAGGCGUCUCAUCCCAUCCGCCUGAGUGUGCAUCAACUAGCCUGGCACUCAUUAGUACAGAUUGCUUUUUACAUAAAAUAUCUAUAUCUAUACUUCUAUAUUUAUAUCUAUAUCUAUAUCUAUAUCUAUAUCUAUAUCUAUAUGUAUACCUACUAAUAAAGCAAGGUGUGUUUCUUCGCUUUUUUUCAUCCGUUCACCAACGAAAAGAUUUUUCUUUUAUCCGAGGUGAUACUAAAUUUUUGUGCUUUCGUGUGCUAGAAAAGAAAAACGGCUUGUCCAGAUUUUGUACCUGGGCCGGGCGUUGAGGCCCAGUGCAGCAAGGCCACUUAUUUUCCUACGCACACAGCUGACAGAACCCUAUUUACCGCACAGAGCUUCAAAUACCCAAAGUUUCGCACAAGUCCCCCAAUACUGGGCCGGCCAAUUUUCGUUUUAUCCUAUAUUCUGGCUUUUUUUCUCUUUCGUUUUCUUUUUAUUUCCUAAUUAUUUUUAUGUUUUACUCUUCCAAGUUUAAUUUCGUUUUUUUUCUUUUCUAAUAAAUUCGAAAUUUUCAAAAAAACCUCAUAAUUUCAAUUUUUGGUUCAAGUUUUCGAUAAAUAUUCGAAUGUCUCAAAAAACAAUUGUUCUAUAAAAGUUCAAAACUUUGUUUUUGUUCUGAAUUUUGUUCAAAAUAAAACAAAAGUUCCAAUUUUUCAAAAAAAAUUAUAUAUUUUAUGCAAUUAUUGACAAUUUCCAAUGUUUCUUUUUGCAUUUAGAAAAAUGUUUCAAAUUUGAAAAUGUUUUUUUGUGAAAUGGUUACGAAAUUAAAAUAAUUUUCUUAAUUGAAAAAACAUUUUCAAAAACUUUCUGAAUGUUCAAAACAUGUUACCAUUUAAAAACAAUUGUUCACUAAUUCAAAAAAUGUUCAGUUUAUUAUAAAAGGUUCAUGUUUUCAGAAUUUUUUUGUGAAUUUAGGAAAAUAUAUUCCAAUUUAAAAUUUUGCUCAUGUCUUUUGGGAAUAUUCAGAAUUUUCAAAAACUGUUUGAAUUUUCAAAAAAUGUUCAUGUUUCAAAAAUAUACGCAAAUUCAUUGUUAUUUUCUGUGAUAGGUUUGAAAAAAGUUAAAAAUAUGUUUCAAAUCUAAUGCUGCAUUACGUUCUUACAUAUCCGUGCUUGCCAUUGGUCAAUAGAACGUGUUUGUUCAACUAGCUAGCAGCAUGUCAUUGAGUCUUUGAUUUAUGCGCUGCAAUUAGUAAUACAUUUGGUUACGCCGUGAUAGGAGACGCCGACCAAACCCACCACUAUCAGGAUCUCGUCGGCCAAACAUGACCCACGACAAGAUCGCGGCUCCUAGCUCUGUCGGCCACCGUUACGGAGACUAUUUUUGGUGGACAUAUUAUUUUUCUCGCAUUGCUUGUCAUAAUAAAUAUCUCCCGUUACAACACGGGCAUAUGCGCUAGUUCUAAUCCUAAAGGACAAAGCUGCAGGCCCAGGGUGAAAACCAAACACUCCGAUGCCAGGCUAGCCUGUGCAGGCCGAAAACUCCAACUUUCCAGGCCGAGGCCAGGCAGCAAAAGAUUUCAGGCACAACACACCCAGGGUACCAACCAAACUGACCCUAAAAACGUUUCGAUAGUUUGGGCCUGCAGCGCACUGCUGACAAAAAAAAAAUAGACUAUAGCUCAAAAAAAAAAGACCAGAGACGGGCACAUCUCCUCUGCCUCGGUGUAUGGCAUAGAUGCCACGAAUCCUGCCUGCACGCCGCCUCGGUUCGUUGUUUUUCUUUCAAAAAAGAGCCGACUCUCGACCUCGAUUCCCCGACCUGGACGCCGCCGCCGCUCCCCACCGAUCUCGCCGCCGACAAUCCCUCCUUCAUCUGGCCACUCCCAGGCUCCGCGACCCAUCCAGCUUUGCCCACGAGUGCGUGUUAGACUAUGUAUAACUUCUGUACCUAUGUACGUAUUGUAACACAACCAUUAUAUAUAAUGAGAUAAGCCACCCCUAGAGGGUUGUGCUGGUUCCCAAAACUUAUUGUCUUACAUGGUAUCACGCUAGGUUACGAUCGCUUCCGCUUCUAAACCCUAAUACCCGCACCGCCGCCGCAGCAGCCGCCGCCUUCACCGCCGCCGCCGCGCCACCGAUCGCGCCGCCGCCAUGUCGAGCGCCGCCACCACCGGUUCCACUGCUGCGGGCUUCCUCCCGGCCUCUCUUGCGGCUCUGCUCAACCUCCCGCUCGAUGCCGUCUCCGUUCCGGCUCCGAUCGGGACAAGGAGCAUCGGCUCCGUCUUCUCCACGCCGCCGGCACCCUCGCUCGGGCGUGACCUCGUGGUCCACACCGCGGCGCCGCCGUCCGCUGCGGAUUCCGCAGGCGUCGUCCCGCCGCUCCUGCUGCGAGCGGAUCACACCGCCCCGCUGGCGGGGUUGGCGGNNNNNNNNNNNNNNNNNNNNNNNNNNNNNNNNNNNNNNNNNNNNNNNNNNNNNNNNNNNNNNNNNNNNNNNNNNNNNNNNNNNNNNNNNNNNNNNNNNNNNNNNNNNNNNNNNNNNNNNNNNNNNNNNNNNNNNNNNNNNNNNNNNNNNNNNNNNNNNNNNNNNNNNNNNNNNNNNNNNNNNNNNNNNNNNNNNNNNNNNNNNNNNNNNNNNNNNNNNNNNNNNNNNNNNNNNNNNNNNNNNNNNNNNNNNNNNNNNNNNNNNNNNNNNNNNNNNNNNNNNNNNNNNNNNNNNNNNNNNNNNNNNNNNNNNNNNNNNNNNNNNNNNNNNNNNNNNNNNNNNNNNNNNNNNNNNNNNNNNNNNNNNNNNNNNNNNNNNNNNNNNNNNNNNNNNNNNNNNNNNNNNNNNNNNNNNNNNNNNNNNNNNNNNNNNNNNNNNNNNNNNNNNNNNNNNNNNNNNNNNNNNNNNNNNNNNNNNNNNNNNNNNNNNNNNNNNNNNNNNNNNNNNNNNNNNNNNNNNNNNNNNNNNNNNNNNNNNNNNNNNNNNNNNNNNCUUGAGCGCACCUUUGCAGCGCAGUCCCAGGCUCGUGUCUCUGCACUCCGUCGUCAGCUUGGAGAGUGUCAGAAGCUUGACUCCACGGCCACUGAGUUCUACAACAAGGUCAAGGGCCUUGCCGACACAUUGGCCUCCAUUGGACAGCCCCUCACCGACUCCGAGUUCAACUCGUUUAUUGUCAAUGGUCUUGAUGAGGAGUAUGAUGCCUUAGUCGAGAUCAUCAACGAGCGGGGUAACUCGACACCCAUGUUGGCACACGAGGUUUUCUCUCGGCUUCUUCUCACUGAGCAACGGGUCGAGACUCGCCGCACCAGGGGCACUGGCUCUCUCUCGGCCAACGUCGCCACCAAGGGUGGCCGCUCUUCUUCAUCACCCCGGUCUCCCUUGGGGCUGCCACCGUCGCCCGCCUCGGCCCCCCCACCUACUGCGACCUUACCGGGGGCUGGCGGUCCACGUGUGUGUCAGCUUUGUGGCCGCGAUGGGCACUGGGCCUCCAAAUGUCAUAAGCGCUUCCAGCGAAGCUUCCUUGGUCUUGGCAAUGACGGCAAAGAUACACGCAACAAUGCCCGUCAGGUCGCCAUGGCUGAUCGUCCCGCGCCGCAGAAGCACCAGGGACACACUCAGUCCUACUCCAUCGAUCCACACUGGUACAUAGACUCUGGGGCGACAGAGCAUCUGACCAGCGAGCUGGGGAAGCUUCACACUCGUGAACCCUAUCAUGGCUCCGACAAGAUCCACACCGCCAAUGGAGCAGGUAUGCACAUCUCUCAUAUUGGUCAAGCAUCUCUUCUCACUAGACAUGCCAAUAGGAGUCUUCAGCUUCGCAAUGUUCUUCGCGUUCCAUCUGUGACCCGCAAUCUUCUUUCAGUUCCUAAACUCACACGUGAUAAUAAUGUGCUUUGUGAAUUUCACCCUUUUGAUCUUUUUAUUAAGGAUCGGGGCACGAGGGACAUUCUUCUUAGUGGGCGGUUGUGCCAGGGCCUCUACCGUCUGGAGCAUCCUGGUGUCGCUCGUGUUUUCAGUGGAGUUCGGGUCUCUCCGUCACAGUGGCAUGCUCGUCUUGGUCACCCGGCCACACCUAUUGUCCGUCAUAUUUUGCGUCGUCAUGAGCUUCCUAGUUUGUCUAGUAAUAAAGAUGUAGCAGUGUGUGAUGCUUGUCAGCAGGGGAAGAGUCAUCAACUUCCUUUUUCGGAGUCCAGUCGUGAGGUGAAACAUCCGUUAGAACUUGUGUUUUCAGAUGUAUGGGGUCCUGCUCAGACUUCUGUCAGUGGUCAUAAUUACUAUAUCAGUUUCGUUGAUGCUUAUAGUCGCUUUACCUGGCUUUACCUUAUUAAACGCAAAUCUGAUGUGUUUGAUAUUUUUGUUCAGUUUCAAAAACAUGUUGAACGUCUUCUCAAGCACAAAAUUGUUCAUGUCCAGUCGGACUGGGGGGGCGAGUAUCGCAACCUCAACUCCUUCUUUCAGUCGCUUGGGAUAGCUCAUCGUUUAGCAUGUCCACAUACACAUCAGCAGAAUGGUUCAGUCGAACGUAAGCAUCGUCAUAUUGUUGAAGCUGGUCUUACUCUUUUGGCCCAUGCAUCUGUUCCGUUUUGGUUUUGGAGUGAUGCUUUCACCACUGCAUGCUUUCUCAUCAAUCGUACUCCUACUCGUGUUUUAAACAUGAAGACUCCCAUUGAGGUUCUCCUUAAUGAGCAACCUGAUUAUACCUUUCUCAAGGUAUUUGGGUGUGCUUGCUGGCCGCAUCUUUGUCCAUAUAACAAGCGCAAGCUUGAGUUUCGUUCUAAGAAGUGUGUUUUCCUUGGCUAUAGCUCUCUUCAUAAAGGUUACAAAUGUCUUCAUGUUCCCACUAAUCGUGUCUAUAUAUCUCGGGACGUCGUGUUUGAUGAGCAUGUUUUUCCCUUUGCCAACCUUCCUGUGUCCACUGUCGAACCACCAUCCCUGCAUUCAUCCUCUGUUGCUUCUGACCAAUUUGAUGAUGUUGCAUACUCUCCUUUGCUGUUACCUAACCAUGGUGCAGGAACCGGACGUGGAGCUCGUUUGGAGCUGUUGGAGGAUUCACCAUCAUCAUCGUCGUCUUUUGGUGGGCAUGUUGAUCGCCCUCUGUUGCAUGGCAUCAAUUCGCGUGCCCAUGCAUGGUCACCCGACGAGCCCGUCGCGCCAAGCAUCUCCACUGUUCGGUCUGCUACGCUAGUGAUCGCCGAGUCUCCAGCGGCUCGGCCUUUUUCGCCAGCGGCCGCCGAGUCGCCCGUGGCUCGGCCCGUCACGCCGUCUUCGCCCGCGGCUCGGGUCCUCACGUCGCCUUCAUCAGCGGAUCGGCCCGCGACACCGGCCGCGCCACGGCCCACUAUGCCGAGCUCGCCAUCGGCCCGGUCUGGGAUGCCGGAGUCGCCAGCUGCUUCGUCUGCUCUGCCGAUUUCGCCGGUGGGCCGGCCUUCUUCGCCGACUGAGUCUGAGGCUACCGUGCCUGGCUCCUCGUCACCGGCUGACUCGUCAACGUCGCCGUCCUCCAGCCCGUUGCAGGCUGCUCCGUCGACCUCGGUGGUUCCUGUGUCUCGACCACAUACACGCAGUCGCAGUGGCAUUUUCAAACCUAAGGAACGUACGGAUGGUACGGUUGCUUGGUUGGCUGCUUGUUUGGCUGCUGCUGUUGCGGAUCCAUCUUCUGAGCCUCGCUCAUAUCAGGCUGCCCUGCGCAUUCCACAUUGGCGAGAGGCUAUGGAGCAGGAGUUUUAUGCUCUCCUUCGUAACAAGACAUGGACUCUCGUUCCUCCACCACCACGGGUAAAUGUUAUUGACUCAAAAUGGGUAUUCAAAGUGAAGAAGCAUUCGGAUGGAUCUAUUGAGCGUUACAAAGCGCGACUUGUUGCUCGCGGUUUUCGGCAGCGUCAUGGUCUUGACUAUGAGGACACCUUCAGUCCUGUCGUCAAGCCUACCACUAUUCGGCUUCUUCUCUCCAUUGCUGUUUCUCGUGGUUGGUCCCUUCGUCAACUUGAUGUGCAGAAUGCUUUUCUACAUGGAUUUUUGGAGGAAGAGGUUUAUAUGAAACAGCCGCCUGGUUUCUCUGAUCCUGAUCGUCCUGACUAUAUCUGUCGUCUUUCCAAAGCACUAUAUGGUUUGAAGCAAGCUCCUCGUGCCUGGCAUGCCCGCCUUGCCUCUGCCCUUCGUGCUCAUGGGUUUGUGCCGUCCACUGCAGACACUUCAUUAUUUCUUCUACAGAAGCCAGAAGUCACUAUGUAUCUUUUGGUAUAUGUCGAUGAUAUUAUCCUUGUCAGCUCUUCUUAGUAUGUUGCUGAUGCUCUUGUCUGCUCUCUUGGUGCUGAUUUUGCGGUCAAAGAUCUUGGGAAGCUUCACUACUUUCUUGGAGUUGAGGUCACUUCUCGUGCUACUAGUCUUGUCCUUACGCAGAAGAAGUACUCCUUGGAGUUGUUACAAAAAGCUGGCAUGCUGAAGUGCACACCGACCACCACACCCAUGUCGUCUACCGACAAGAUAACAGCUGUUGAUGGUGAGCUUUUGUCUCUUGCGGAUGCCACAGAGUACAGAAGCAUUGUUGGUGGACUUCAGUACUUGACGAUCACGAGACCAGAUAUCUCUUAUGCUGUUAACAGGGUUUGUCAGUAUCUUCAGGCUCCCAGAGAUACUCAUUGGGCUGCUGUUAAACGCAUUCUUCGUUAUAUUCAGUUCACCCUGACUUUUGGUAUGCAUAUUCGGCCGACUUCCUCUCGGGUCCUUUCGGCCUUCUCUGAUGCAGAUUGGGCUGGUAGCCCAGAUGACAGGCGAUCCACGGGGGGUUAUGCAGUAUUCUUUGGCUCUAAUUUGAUCGCCUGGAGUGCUCGGAAACAGGCUACUGUGUCACGUAGCAGUACUGAAGCUGAGUACAAGGUUGUGGCUAAUGCUACUGCAGAGAUUAUUUGGGUGCAGUCUUUGCUUCAGGAGUUGGGUUUGUCUCAACCACAGCCUCCUAUUCUUUGGUGUGAUAACAUCGGUGCUACAUACCUUUCUGCAAAUCCAGUAUUUCAUGCCCGAACGAAACACAUUGAAGUUGACUAUCACUUUGUACGGGAACGUGUAUCACAGAAGCAACUUCAGAUUAAGUUUAUCUCGUCUAAGGAUCAACUUGCAGAUAUCUUCACUAAGCCUUUACCACUGCCACAGUUUGAGGCUUGUAGGCACAAUCUUACCCUUCUCAGUUCUUUAGAAAGUGGCUAAGAUUGAGGGAGGGUGUUAGACUAUGUAUAACUUCUGUACCUAUGUACGUAUUGUAACACAACCAUUAUAUAUAAUGAGAUAAGCCACCCCUAGAGGGUUGUGCUGGUUCCCAAAACUUAUUGUCUUACAGUGCGCCGCCCCUCCUCUUCGCCAUAGCCAUAAGCUUCGCCACACGUACCUCCCUCCUCUGCUCCGACCAUGGCGAGAUUCUUGAUUCAACCCUUUGUUUGACUCUGUUCGUGUGGAUCAGUUCAUGUGCAUAUGUAAAUGUUAUUUAGGUAUAUAUAACUAUUGAUCUAGCACUUGUGUUUAUUAUUUUUGGUAAAAAUAAGGUUUCUUAAUCUGAUGUAAAUUGGGGUUUUAUGUAGACAUGGAAUUCUAAUUGAAUUUUCUAUUCAGCUUGCAAUUCCAAUAAUUUUAUGUAUUGUAUUUGCAUGUACAUAGGUGGCCACACAACGGCCAGGGGUAUAUGCUUCUCCUACCACUCACGCCUUCAUCCUAUUUGAGCCAGAAUGGCUUUGUUGCCCUCUCUCGCUCAUGGUGAGGCCAUGCACCCUUGCCAUGGUAAUGGCUAUGAAAUCUCAGACCGAGUCGCUUCAGUCAGGCACUAUGCAGGUAUAACUCGCUUUGCUCCAUCAUCACAUGCUUGACGAAAUUUCAGAGAUGGUGGUGAUCUAGCUGUUAUUAGACCAUCCUUGUUACAAAACUUUAUUGGGUUCAAGGGUCUUAAGAAUUGGUAAUUUCUCGAUUGUAUAGCUAGAAAUGUAGUUCUUAAAAGAUUUUGAUGUCAAAUUGUUUAUGGAAUCUCGAGUGAAAAUAUUUUCCUAUUAAAUGAUUAGAUUCUACAACAACCUCUGAUCUAAAUCCUAAAUUACUGUAUCGUGUGCAUGGUUUGCUCACAUCACAAAUUUCUAACAAGAAGAUAGGUCCUGAGUUCAGUUGCAACCAAAACAUUUAACUUCCAGUUCAACAUUGCAUAUAGUUUACCCCCAUUAGACAUUGCAUUUAUCUUCCUGAUUACUUCCAUAACGCUUUCAAAUCUGUGAAGAGAGACUUGAUAGUUUGUUAUUAUGGUUUAAGUUAGAAAUUGUAUUUAUCUUCCUUGAUUAUUCUUCCAUAAGCUAUCAAUUCUGUUAGAAAGACCUUAUUAGUUGUUCAUUCAAUUUAAGUUAUUGUGGGAUGCAUACACCAUGUAUUACUUCUUUUGCACGUACAGUUCUGUUAUAUAUGGAUCUGAUAAUGCUUCCUCACGCUUGAGCCAAUUACCUUACAUAUUAAGGUGACAACUUUAGGUCCAUAUGUGUUCCUGUUGUCUGGGAGUUGGGAUCAAAUGAGUUCGGAGAAAAAAUUUAUGGCAAAAACGGACCCAUUGGUUAGCAGGUUCUUAGUAGGGUACCCUUAUUACUAUGUGGAUCAUUGCAUGGCGCGAGGCAAAGUUGAGUGGAGGCAAAGAAUAGAAGACAUCGUCUUUUUUUAGAUUAAUAAUAGAACACAUAGUCGGUACAUUUCCGGAUGGUGUCGCCGGCGCAGCCGUGGCUCUGUCCUCGGCUCAACCGACAUGGAUGUCCAGACAUGGUGGACAUCUUUCUGUACGGUGUGGUCGGUACUACUCCCUGGUGGAACAGGCUUGAAUCCCUCUUAUUCGUCCCUGGCGGCACUGUUGUUUCUUCUUUUUCUAGGAGUCAAGGUUGUAUUCCUGAGGGGAGCAUACAUAUUAUCUUGAUUGAGUUGACUUUUGGCUACUGUAUUACUGUUACAACUUACCAGCAACAUAGAAAGAGAGUCAUGUCUGAUAAGGUAUUCUACUUCAGUUGUAUGCUUGCAGAGCAUUUGGUUUUUCCAUCCAAGUAUUACUAAACUCUACCAAGUUUUAUAAUGACACAGGAUAUGUACCAAGUAAUGAGUAUGUACUAUGUACAGAAGUUUUGGUUCUUGGUUCUUGCAUGGAGGUGAGCAACAAUGGGCUGCAAACGCGGCUGCCGCCCAUCACCUGCUCGAAUUCAAGCACAACCGUAGGCUGCCUUAAAUGUGGGGAGUUGUCAAAGGUGAUAUCUUUUAGCUCGACCAUUUUAUUGAUUUAGUUUCUAAUAAUUUUGGGUAUCCAAACUUGGAAAGUUUCACCCCUCAAGUUAAAUUGGGAAAGUCCAAAUAUUGGUAUUGUUCUUCCAAUUUUUAAUCACGUUCCUAGAAAUAUAGGUUUAAUGCUGGCUCUGCAAUUUUCCUAUUCAUAUGCAUGAUUUUGAACUGCUCUCUGUGCUCUUUCCUUCUUGCUGAACCAAUGUUUCCUCACGGGGAAGACAGUAACUUUUUUUGUUGCUACAUUUAAUUUUGGUGGUAAAGAUUUUGUGAUCCAGCCUCAUGACGCCUUGAGAAGGCUAAGAUCCGCUAUCGUGCUCUUCUCCAUUGCCGACUAUGACCUUCUGAUGCAUCUGGUCAACUUCGUUGCCAGCAUCAUAUUCAGGCAGAAGCUUUCCUUUACAUUUUAGUUUGCCUGACCUGCCCAGGCACAACUGUCGGUGUGUGUUCUGAGACCUCCUUGCCCUUGAUUGCAUUUGGUUGUUCCAGAGACCUCCCCGCCCUUAAUUGCAUACGGUUGUCAAGGACGCCAAACAAGCACAUAUCUCUCUCUCUCUCUUGCUAGCUAUCUUUUUAAAAUAACAUACACAUUGGAUGACCAGAUGCACAACCACAUAAGUUUUUUUUAUGCACGCUCAUAUGGUCUAGAUUUGAAUGUAAAAUUACAUGGGAAUUCACUGAAGGCUGUAAAAGAGAAAGGAAAAUGUUCAUUAAAUUUUGUCACAUGCAAACUGGAAGAAGGGGCUCAAUAAGCAGAGAAUUCCCCUCAAGAUGUGAACUGCGCUGAUGUCCUCGUUAUGUGUGUUGCUUCUACUGAAUGAUGCUCCAUUGCCGUCGUUGCUAUAAUAUGAUUUAGAGCAUCUCCAGCCGNNNNNNNNNNNNNNNNNNNNNNNNNNNNNNNNNNNNNNNNNNNNNNNNNNNNNNNNNNNNNNNNNNNNNNNNNNNNNNNNNNNNNNNNNNNNNNNNNNNNNNNNNNNNNNNNNNNNNNNNNNNNNNNNNNNNNNNNNNNNNNNNNNNNNNNNNNNNNNNNNNNNNNNNNNNNNNNNNNNNNNNNNNNNNNNNNNNNNNNNNNNNNNNNNNNNNNNNNNNNNNNNNNNNNNNNNNNNNNNNNNNNNNNNNNNNNNNNNNNNNNNNNNNNNNNAUCCAGCCGUCGCCCCCAGGCGUUGAGAUUGGCCCAGUUUUCGGCCCACUUUCGGGAAUAAAGGCCCCAUAUGGGCGAGAAUCGGCCCAUAUUCGGCGUGGUUCGUCAUGGCUCGGCGUUCAAUUAUCAACAUAAUAUUUUUAUCACAUAGUUCAUCACAGAAAAUCAAAUAGUUCAACAAAAUAGUGCAACAACAAAUAGUUCAAUACAAAUUAUAUAGUUCAACAAAUAAAAACUCAUAUUUCAUCACACGUUGAGCCCGGCGUCACCCUUGAGCAUCCAUAGGUGCUCCACCAGAUCCUGCUACAGUUGACGAUGCACCUGUGGGUCUCGGAUCUCCUGACGCAUACUGAGGUAGGCAGUCCAGGUUGCCGGUAGUUGGUGAUCAACUUCGGCUAGAGGACCCUACCUGUAGUAUGGUUCAGUGUCAAACAUUGGCUCUUCCUGCUCGCUCUCGAUAAUCAUGUUGUGCAAGAUGACACAGCAAGUCAUGAUCUCCCACAUUUAAUCUUUCGACCAGGUCUGAGCAGGGUAGCGGACAAUAGCAAAUCGAGAUUGGAGCACACCAAAAGCCCGCUCGACAUCCUUCCUGCAAGCCUCCUGCACCUUGGCAAAGUGGGACUUCUUGCCUCCUAGCACAGCGUUUGAGAUAGUCUUCACAAAUGUAGACCAUCUCGGAUAGAUGCCAUCAGCUAGGUAGUACCCCUUGUUGUAGUGCCGCCCAUUGACCUCGAAGUUCACCGGAGGAGAAUGACCUUCAACAAGCUUGGCAAAGAUAGGGGAGCAUUGCAGCAUGUUGAUGUCAUUGUGAGUUCCUGGCAUACCAAAGGAGUGUCAGAUCCAGAGGUCCUGUGUGGCCACCGCCUCAAGUACCACACUGCAACCGCCUUUGGCGCCUUUGUACAUCCCCUGCCAAGCAAACGGGCAGUUCUUCCAUUUCCAACGCAUGCAAUUGAUGCUUCCAAGCAUCCCAGGAAAUCCUCUUUCUGCAUUCCGUGCUAGGAUCCGAGCAGUGUCUUCCGCAUUGGGUGUUCGCAAGUAUUGCGGUCCAAACACUGCCACCACUGCCCGACAGAACUUGUAGAAACACUCAAUGGUGGUGGACUCGGCCAUGCGCUCAUAGUCGUCGAGUGAAUCAUCGGGAGCUCCGUAUGCAAGCAUCCUCAUCGCUGUCGUGCACUUCUGGAUCGAGGUGAAUCCAAGUUUGCCGGUGCAAUCCUUCUUGCACUUGAAGUAGCUGUCGAACUCCCGAAUGGAAUUCACAAUCCUGAGGAAAAGCUUUCAGCUCAUCCGAUAACGGCGCCGAAAUGUUUUGUCGCCGUGCAGUGGAGCGUCGGCGAAGUAGUCGGAGUAGAGCAUGCCGUAGCCUUCGAGACGAUGUCGGUUCUUUGCUUUCAUCCGCCCCGGCGCCGAGCCACCUCGCCGCGGCUUUUCAUUGCUCAUCAGCAGGGCGGCGAGGGUGGCGAGGACCAUGAGAUGUUCCUCUUCCUGGACGUCGGCCUCGGCUUCCUCCUCCAGCAGCGCGGCGAGCGCUUCCUCGUCGUCCGAGUCCAUCGCCGAGGCAGGCAAAACGCCGAACACCUUGCGCCCGGUGGGCGCGUACCCACCGCCAAACUGCCCCUCCGCGGCCGGAAACAGCGUGAAAAACGCCCAGCUGCUGGUGGAGGGGCUGCCUCGGCGAACCUUUGCUCUUUUUUCGGCGGGGAUUGGCUAUCUAGCGGUGAAGGGCGGUGGGCGGUGCCGGGAUACAGCUGUUGGCGGCCGAGCGCGCGGGGGGUGGGAGGCGAGUCGGGGAAGAAAAACUUGACUUUUUGCCUGACGGUGUGGGCCAGCCGUGCUUUUCCCUUGUGCCGGAGCCCCCGAGCCGGGUUCGGCUUGCGAUCGCCGGGCCCAAAAACGGGCCGAACCGGCGGAUUUCGACGUCCUGGGGGCGCGACUGGGCCGUUUUUUUUGGCGCCGGCGCCGAAAAAGUGGCCUGGGGGGCCUGUUGGGGGCGCGGCUGGAGAUGCUCUUAGUAUAGCUUGUCUGAAUGGGUUAGAAGAGGGGUGAUGAACUGUUUUGUGGGCAUUCAUGUACGUUUAGUUUCAUUAUCAUCUGAGGUGUGAACUUGCUUCAAACAGUCAAUUUGCCUUCCUGCUACAAAAUUUCUCUGCAGCGGUGGUUGUAUUAGAAACAUCUCCUUCCAAAGAGUAAAUGUUUUCACACCAAAUAUUUAUGGUUUGUUGGAUAAGUGAUGCAAUGAGUAGCACUGUAGUCUUUGAUGGAGAUUUAUACUGAAAGACACUUGGUGUACUCUAAAUAUUUUUGUUUACCUCCAAGAUUGUUGGCUUGUCGCCCUCAAACUAAAAAGUAAAUAAUUAUUCCUCUCUGUCCAGGAUGAUGGUCUACUGCCAAAGGAGUUGGCAAGAUAACUGCACAUUUAACACCCGCACUGUCCGAACAAGUUCUAUCAACAAUUUUGUAGCAUUUUUCUCCAGGUGAGGUCCAUUUAUGACAUAUACACUUCAAAGCACCCUUUGUUUGUUUGAAGAGUUUCACAGCUUCCUCUUCCAGCUUUAAAAAUUGCAGCUUUUCUUAGGUAGUGAAUUACUUAUGAAGUAAUUAAGUUGUGCAUUCUGAAUACCGAAGGUGAUGGUUCUAGGCAUAGAGGCAUCUUGGCUUUGACUGAACUUGCUCAGAGGGGGUUGCUCCUCCCGUUAUAACUAAGGGUACAUAAUAUAACAAUAUUUUUCUGACACUAACUUUCAUCGUGGGUGCAAUGAUUAUUAGAUUAUAAUCAUAGACUACGCACGAUGAUCAUUUACGUUCCUAAAUUUUCUUCCUCUUUCAUGCUGGCAGGGAAAUAUCGCCAUUAAUUUACGAGCUAGAAGGAGUUCACAGAAUUUUGUCAACAUCAUUGAUGAAGAUAUAAUUUUUCAUAUUUGUUUUUAGACAAGAAAGAACCAUAGAGAAUCUUAACCCUUGUACUUUAGCAGUACCUAGAGUAAACCCCCUCAAAUUUAACAGAAGAUGGAAAUGAAUGGUUGUUUUUGUUGCACGUUACUCCAAGAAGAAGUGCAUCAUCAAACUAGAUGUUGUAUAUUAUCCGUCCAUAAUAUGGUUGCUUGUGUAUCCUGCGACUUGGUUCAUCCAGGAGAUGUAUGUGUGCAUGCUUGCACGGCAGAGCACAAAACUAUAAUUUUGAAGGAAGGUACAUUAAGUCACGCGCAUGGACAGUGUUGCCAUCUAUAAUGCCUUACAUGUGUGAGCUCCAUUGGGACAAUUUGAUUAGUGUGUCACAAGACUGCAAUUUCUAAUUUACAAAUUCUGUAGUUACUUUAGUGCUUUACAUAAUGCAUAGAUUUUUCAUAUAGAAUGAAGUGAAUCUAUAACCUGAUUUUGCUUUAUUAUUUAGUUCCAGUUCACUUUGUAAAUCCCAGUUCUCCAGUAUUGUAUUCUCUGUGUUAAAUCAUCAAACUAAACAGACCUUUCUCUUUGGACAGCUUCCAAUUUGUAAUAUUAUGAUUUUUUUUUUCAGAAACCACUUCAACUAGCCCAGGGCUAUAUCUAUUAGUCCUCCAGUAUUUGUUGGAAUGAGAGAACACAUUUUAUGCCAGGUAAAAGGCUACUGAAGCACGGAGAUUUUUGUAAUUUCUUGGAAAGAUUAAGCCAAUGGACCCAGGAUGCAUGCUUCAAGUGUCUACAGAUUACAGGAAACAUGUUUCUUCAAGUGCCUACAUGCUACAGGAAGUAAAGCUUCUUAUAGUAGUCAUCAAACCUAGAUACCAAUUUAUUGGAAUUAUUAUAUUUUUUAUAAAAGUACUCAAACCUGGAUAUCAAUUUAUCGGAUCCAUUAAGGAGAGGUGACACUCUUGGAGAGUCAAGUAAUGCAAUAUAUUCUCUCUCUGCCAGAACCAAACUGUACCAGCACCAACGAACGCCUUUGUGCUAGGAAUAAAUAGGAUGAAUAAAUCUCUACCAGCACCAACAUUGACAGCUUGUUUGUUCACACGUAGCAAUGUUUUGCAUUAAACUGAACCAUGCCAAUACAUAAAACUUCAACAUGAGACUUUGUAAAAAGUUAAUCUUUGCAAUACGACAAAGGUUCACAACAUCAAAUGAUCACAGUCUAGCCAAGGUUACAUAAAAACUGAAUCUUUGCAUUAUUAGCACCACCCAACAAAGAUUUUCAUUGCUCAAGGAUCUUCCUCUGUCCGUUCAGCAUCACACUUCACCCAAUAUUUCCUGCAAAAUAUGAUGAGAAAUGGUGACAUAUGGUCUCAUAGGGCACAAUGGUUGUACAAAUUGCUCAAAGUGAAUACAUAACUGAAUCUUUGCAUUAUUAGCACCACCCAACAAAGAUUUUCAUUGCUCAAGGAUCUUCCUCUGUCCGUUCAGCAUCACACUUCACCCAAUAUUUCCUGCAAAAUAUGAUGAGAAAUGGUGACAUAUGGUCUCAUAGGGCACAAUGGUUGUACAAAUUGCUCAAAGUGAAAGAUGUGACAGCCAAUAAGACAAAUCAAAGUGUGACACGAUAAGCUUUAGCUUGCAACAAUCUUUACAAAGGGUAAAAAAAAUACCUCAACUUGAUAUAGAAGUUGCUCAAAGGUUAACUUGCACUUCAUUUGCACAAUUAUCAUGAAUCGAAAGGUAGUGGCGACAAACCAGCAACAACCGAGUAGGUUAAGUAGGACCAAAACUAAGUCGAUAAGAGACUACAUAUUAAAACAGAGGAUAUAUAUAGGAAAAUGGGUUGGUACACCUAGGAGUACAUACUCCUAUGUCAUGUGUCAUUUCUUUUUUUAUUUUCCACUGUUGUUUAUUGUGCCAUCGCAACAAACCUCCUUAGCAUUUAGUUAGUUGAUUAGGUGCUAAUCAGAAGUGGUCCCGUGGAGUUUGAAAGUUUGUUCCAUACUAAUAGGGAUAAGGCACAUUCAGAUUCAAAUCUUGUUAGCACCGCAUUAACAUGCAUCGUUCUUCUUUCAUUAAAAUCAAUCCACCUACUGAUUAGGGCUUGGAGACAAGACGCAGCCGGCAGCCGCUUGUUGACUCGACGACGAGGCACAUUAGAUGUGGUUGGCGCAACUCAAACUUGAAGAUGAGAAGAUGAGAUGCUGCCGACAAUCUAACUCGUCAAGGUGCAUCAUUUAUUCAAUAUUAUUUCUGGUCUACGAACUUCAGAUUGAGCUGCAAAAGCAUGCAUCAACCACUCUUUCCGUGACUAAUUCAUUGCUUGCUCAGGUAGGCAUCUAGUUGGCUGUACCCCUUAUCUAAGCUCUAUGCAUGCAGGUAGAAUUUCCCAAGGUGUCAUCUGGAGGCCAUGGAUAGCAUGGCGUGGAGUGCCUGCGAUUUCGAUGCGUUGGACUCCUAACAUCAUGCUGCCCACCGUGCGUGUGCUUGCCGGCGACAAACAGAACAACAACAAGAAGAUGCUUUUGCAGUGAAGAACAAAUGAAUGUAGACUAGAUAUCCACUCCAGAAUGCAUAUGUAAUACGUGCAUGCUUAUCAUACAUUUCUCUAUGGAUGUAUCAAAUUUAGUGAAUAUACUUCAAUUUCAGCAGAGUAUAUACUUCAUUCAAGUGGAUAUACUUCAAAUCAAUUUCAGCAGAGAGUAUGCAUCAUUCGUAUGAACAACUGAAUAUACUGCUAUAUCAGCUGGGUAUAUCCUUUUUUUGGUCGAGAAGUAUAUACUCCAAUAAAAAAAAGUAUAUACUCUCCAAUUAAAAAAUUAAGUACAAACUCCUAAACCCUUGGCCACAGUACUCCAAUUAAAAUUUAAAUAUUUAGUAUAUACUCUUCUCGCUAGUACUAGAUACUCAUUGAUCGCAAUGCUAAUUGCACAAGAAAGCAACUAAAAAAUUGCACAAGAAAACCGUAUACUUUUGUUAUAAGCAGUAUAUACCGGUCUAAAAAUAUAUACAUCACAAAAUAGUAUAUAAUCCUACUUUUUUUGAAGUAUAUACUCCUAUGAAGAAACGACUGUAUAUACUUCUUUUUGUGGUAGGUUGUUCUUUGAUCGGAGAGUAGUAUAUAUGUCGCAUAUACUGCAAAAUAGUGCUUCCAGCACACAUUGAUAGGGAACAAGAAUUAGUUAUUCCUCAUGUAUGAAUGAUGCUCAAAGCAUUCAUUGUUAAUCUAGGACUCCCGACUGAUGUUCUUGAAUUACAACUCUACACAUGGCCUACAAGCAGUCACCCAGUCACUUAGCUAAUCCAAACAGAGCAAAAUUAUCCGAAGAACCUGUCUAGAUCUUAUGGAGCAAUAUAUUGCAGCAAUCAAAGGAAAUAACAACCUAGUCCAUAUGACAAUGUUGUGACAAUAUAUCCAAGCAAAUAUAUUGCAGCAACCAACUGAAGAACCACUCUGAUUGAAAGAGGCGAAGCAUACCCUGCUUGCUCCCAGACCAAGAGCCCCGGUGCCUCUUGCUCCUUAGUCCUCCGGGGGUGGAGUUGACCUACCGUGGGCUGCCCAGAUCGGGUGGCUGGAGUGAGGCGUCCUGCUGAACAGGUGGGUUCAGGUUAGGGUUAGGGUUCAAGAAGAAAAACGCAUCAGAGAGAGGGAGGGGGGAGAAGAGAGGUGGGGAAGGGAGCGAGAGGAGAAGCCUUACCGGUGGCGAGAGGGACAGGUAACCAAGACGUCGGAGUGUCCUUGCGACCUUGCCGGAGAGGGACAGUACGGGGCGGAGAUGGACCGGGACCGGGACGGGACGGGGCGGGGUGGAGGAUAGGGUGGGUGGCGGCGGGGUGGAGGAGAGGGAUCGAGAGAGACAGAGAGCUGCGUCGGGCCUCCAAAUCCAGACAAAUGAGGGCAUCUCCGGCCGUUGGCCCUCCAGGAAGGGCAAAAAAUCGCCCCUGGAGGCGCACCGGCGCUAAGCCCCG
rnacentral:lncRNA from 1 species